AAGAAUUCUUCUUCGCUGGCUGCUGGCAUGAUGCUAGCUCCAUAAAAACGAUCCGAACCUCUGUGGCUCCUGUACAAGCGACUGGAAGUCUAUAUGAUAGACUAAUGGCUGUGCGGUGGAUGAGUUCUAACCUUUGCGUAGUCGGCAUGAAAAGUCAUCUCCUCGCUACCGACGGAGUCGUCAUCGUUGUCGCCACCAUGAUCCUCCUGACGUCCGCUAGUACUUGCUUUGGCGUCUACUUCAUGAAUAGGAGGAGCGACCGGAGGUGCGGCAUUUGCAUUGAGAGCUUUAUGAUUUUUAUGAGGGUGAUGGUGAUGGUGGUGAUGUUUUUGUUGAUCCAGGUGGAUUGAACUUGAUGCUCCUCGCGGCAUCUUGGCCUUGAAUUGUUCUAGCUGCCGGUCGUUGGAGUCUAGUGCUACAACCUGCAUAGGAGCGCCUUUAGCAUCUAUUAUGACUCGGAGAAGCCUGGGAAGAGCGGAAUUGAGGAGCUACCUCGUCAUGAGAUGGUGGUGAUGGUGUUCUCGCACUCGUGCUCAUGGAAAACCGAGCCACCUUUGGGAGCGAACCUUCGCCCUUUGGUGGAGAAUCUGCACAGGGAAUUUCGUCCGUCUUUUGUUCUCUUUUUGUCUUAAAACCAGUGAUUGCUUUACCUCUGCUUUCCAGGAUCCGAGCGCAGCAACUUGGAUGCAGCAUGUUGAUCAACGCGACGAGCAGCAAGCAGCAACCGAGGCAAGUCUCUAGUCUGACGAUUCCGAGCAUAAUUCUUCACCCGUGAAAUAUCCAGGCGGCGCCAAGUAAAAUUGGAGUACCAGAGCCGAGCACCGACCGGGGCUACAAACAAUCAAAAUGCUGCUUCGACAACUUAAAGCUGCCUGGACCACAAAACGGGAUUGUGAGCUGCGCGGCAAAACAAACAAGCCGAGCGGAGAGAUGCGGGAGGGAGGAGCAAUGCAAGUGAUACACGGGAGGCAAAUAAAUGGGAUAUACAAAUGGCGAGCGAGCGAGCCGACGUAAGAAAAGAAGCGUGAGGUAAGCCGAGAGAGAGAGAGAGAGAGAGAGCUCUCACAGCACACCGGCCAAAUAAAUGAGGCUCUCUCGGAGGAGAAGAUGGCCGCAACAAACAGGGCGGGGUUACGCUAAAAACUUUGAUAUCGAGGCAAAGGAGGAUGGGCUGAUUUGUUUUUAAGGGGAGGCUGGGCAGACAGAGAAGGCCACCGGGGUCCCACGAUUUGAGGAAAAUGGAAGACAAGUUCGGCACGGUUUGGCAGACACAAAGUAAAAAGUCCGGGUCAGGACGGGAGCAGCAAACCAAAGUUUAAUCUUUUUAUUGGUGAAGCGGCGGCAGCACUUGGUAUGCACCACCCAACACUCCUCUACGCUUACGCGACGACGAACUACAUGGCAUUCGCCCGAGACACACAGUUUUGCAAGCGAGAAGAAGGACCGCGAUGAUUUGGACAAGGACAAGCAAGAGCAGGCUUAAAAAACUCCCUCGGCCCGCUCGCUUGCUUGCUAGCUAGCACAGCAUUCCUCUUUCGCCAUCGACACGAAAACUGGGGCAGAGCAAAAGGAAAAAAAGGUAAAGGUUUUUUAAAGGUGGAUCGGGCUGGGGGGAUGCUUUUAUAUUUCGGGUCUCUGGAGCAGCACUCCCAACUGACAGGCAUGGCCUUGAAGAGCGUACGAAAGAAGCAAUUUUUUGGCGGGGAUGAUUGGGAUAGUUGGACACAAAGGUUGCUCUUCACGGUGCUUUGCUUUGAAUGGGAGCGAAGCUCGAGACAAAUGGGAAGACAGGGACACGAGCGGCGCAGGCAGUGUGACCACUGACCACCACCAGCGCCACACGCACAGACUGGAAGCGAGCGAUCGAUCAGACAAGGACGAGGGGACUUUGAAAGUAAACUUUGUGGAGCCUUGUCCUCGCUUGAUCAGUGCCGCUGCUGCUUGUAUGAAGAACAACGGGGUCCAGAUCGCGAGGAACGAAGCAAAGUCAGUGUGCUGUGCUUGACAGAUCGAUUCGACCGGCUGAAAAUCGGGCCGGGAAGAGGAGUCAAUCAGCUCGAUCCAAGCGAUCGAAAGAGAUAUGAAGCGAAGCUGUCUCCGCAACAACACACACAGCGCAUUGAUCAUCCACUCUUGAAGUGCUUCGCAAGGUUUCUUUUUUUUCCCAGAUCGAUCGAGCGUGGAUCUUUACUGUCAGUGAACUCACCACGCGAAAAAAUCCCAGAAAAUGGGGUGUCGUUGACUUUUGUCCGGUCAAGUCAAUGGUCGCCCCCUCCACGUGGCCAGACGAUUUUUAAGUUUCUGUCGCGACAUAGCCGACAAGGGGCCAGCGGCUGUCGGGUCGGCCGGGGACACCGGGAGAAUUCCGUACAGUUGAUCAUGCGGCGCGAAGAAUUGACGAACAACCAACGAAAGACCUCAAAGUUUUAUAAUCAAAGAGGAAAUAUCCUUUCGAUCGAUUGGUUGAUCUUAGGAAAAAAAAA